AACGAACGCUGGCGGCAUGCCUAACACAUGCAAGUCGAACGAGACGUCCGGGACUUUGGGCGCACGGGGGUGUAACGCGUGGGAAGCUUCACUUAGGUACGGAAUAACUCUCCGAAAGGGGUGCUAAUACCAGAUAAUGUCUUCGGACCAAAGAUUUAUUGCCUUUGGAUGGGCCCUCGUUGGAUUCGGUAGUUGGUAGGGUAAAAGCUUACUAAGGCGAGGAUUCAUAGCUGGUCUGUGAGGAGGAUCAGCCACACUGGGAGUCAGACACGGCCCAGAAUCUUACGCAAGGCGGCAGUGGGGAAUAGUGGACAGUGGGGGAAGCCAUGAUGCAGCAAUGCCCCGUAAGUGAUGAAGGCCUUAGGGUUGUAAAGCUCUUUUACCCGGGAUGAUAAUGACGGUACCGGGUGAAUAAGCUCCGGCUAACUACGUG
rnacentral:rRNA from 1 species